GAUGAACGCUGGCGGCGUGCCUAAUACAUGCAAGUCGAACGCAUUGUGGUUGAAAUGAUAUGAAGAACUUGUUCAGAUUUGAUUUUCAACAUUGCAAUGAGUGGCGAACGGGUGAGUAACACGUGGGAAACCUACCUCUUAGCAGGGGAUAACAUUUGGAAACAAAUGCUAAUACCGUAUAAUAAUUAAAACCGCAUGGUUUUAGUUUAAAAGAUGGUCUUGCUAUCACUAAGAGAUGGUCCCGCGGUGUAUUAGUUAGUUGGUGAGGUAAAUGGCUCACCAAGACAAUGAUACAUAGCCGAGUUGAGAGGAACUGACCGGCCACCAAUGGGACUGAGACACGGCCCAUACUCCUACGGGAGGCAGCAGUAGGGAAGUCUUCCCACAAAUGGACGAAAGUCUGAUGGAGCAACGCGCGUGUGUGAUG
rnacentral:rRNA from 1 species